rnacentral:rRNA from 1 species
AUUGAACGCUGGCGGCAUGCCUUACACAUGCAAGUCGAACGGCAGCACGGGUGCUUGCACCUGGUGGCGAGUGGCGAACGGGUGAGUAAUAUAUCGGAACGUACCUUAUUGUGGGGGAUAACGCAGCGAAAGCUGUGCUAAUACCGCAUAAUCCCUAAGGGGGAAAGCGGGGGACCGUAAGGCCUCGCGCAAUUAGAGCGGCCGAUACCUGAUUAGCUAGUUGGUGAGGUAAAGGCUCACCAAGGCAACGAUCAGUAGCUGGUCUGAGAGGACGAUAAGCCACACUGGGGCGGAGACACGGCCCAGACUCCUACGGGAGGCAGCAGUGGGGAAUUUUGGACAAUGGGGGCAACCCUGAUCCAGCAAUGCCGCGUGAGUGAAGAAGGCCUUCGGGUUGUAAAGCUCUUUUGUCAGGGAAGAAACAGCAGCUCUAACACAGUUUGCGAAUGACGGUACCUGAAGAAUAAGCACCGGCUAACUACGUGCCAGCAGCCGCCGUAA